ACUAAAAAUCAUGUUUUCUUCAAGUAAGAUACUACUCAAGACAAUACAACGAGUUUAUAAAAAGAUGUACCAAAAAUGACACGAUUGCACUAACACCAAUGUUUUUCAGUGAAGCUGAAAUUACAUACAAUGAAAAAAUAAACUCACUUGCACAAAAAAAAAGUAACAUGUUUACUAGCACGUAAUGUAAUACAAGAAAUGUUUAGUGAUUGGUUACCUACAUUGAAACAGUCUGAUUCUUGGUUUAUGGAAGGUUUUUCAACAUCUUAAGGAGUGUAUAUUAUCGAUUAGAUUUUCGGUCAAUCUUUACUGAAGUCGCUACUAGUCCAAACACGGCAAGAAAUUCUUGAUUUUAUAGAAGCAUAUGUUACACAUGAUCUUCCAGCACUCAGUAUAUUUUACAUGGUCACUGACAUGGACAAAUAUGUUCUAUACAACUCCAUGUUUAGAGAAGCCAUAAACAUACAUCAUAACACGUGAGUAUAAAAAUUAUCAUAAUUUGUGCAAACUU